rnacentral:rRNA from 1 species
AUGUACAUUCCUACAACAUAGCAUUAAUUCACCGGAUUCCAUUAGAACUCCACAGUAAAGUGCACUCGGGCUAGCAUAGUACUGGGAUGGGUGACCACCUGGGAAGUACUAGUGUUUUACAUG